UAUGUGCGGCCGACUAUUGGCGCCGUGUCUUGCCAUUCGUGUGAGCUAUCUUACUUUGCCUUUCAAGUGCUUGCGUGAUGUUACCUGACCUAUGGGUAUUGGUGCUUCAUACAUAGUUGCCUCGCGGUGGACGCCUCUGGGUGUGUUGCUGCGGCCAUAUGGUGAUUGCGGCGUCGCCUCGUGGUGCUGGUUCUCGUGACUGGUGCUAUCAAGGCAGCCUUGCUCUCACGGUUGGUUUCGGAUGUUGCUAAUGAUAAAGCCUCGUGGCCCAUUUGGUUGCCUCGGGGCCUGACCCUAAGAAUGCUCUCCGACUUUGAGAACAUCGUUGAACAUGUGUUGCCUCUGCCCUCUCCACAGUUAGUGGUAGGAUUACGCAAUAUACUUGAUUCCGAUCCCCAAAUAAGUCGGACGAGCUUGGCCCGCUCAACAACGACAACCGGCCCGAUAGUUGCAUGCACAUCGCCACACAAGUGGCGGUGGGUGGGUGACUACCGGUGUUGGA
rnacentral:misc_RNA from 1 species